UGUGCAUUUAGGAAAACAAAACCAUUCUGUGUCAUAUAUGAGUCAGUAGGUGGCAGAAAGGAGAGGGGCUAUGUCCCCUCAAUGUUCUGACCUAUGAACACCAGAAUGAUUAGUAGCCUAAUAGU
ensembl:snoRNA